rnacentral:rRNA from 1 species
UACGAAGGGGGCUAGCGUUGCUCGGAAUCACUGGGCGUAAAGCGCACGUAGGCGGCUUUUUAAGUCAGGGGUGAAAUCCUGGAGCUCAACUCCAGAACUGCCUUUGAUACUGGGUAUCUUGAGUAUGGAAGAGGUAAGUGGAAUUGCGAGUGUAGAGGUGAAAUUCGUAGAUAUUCGCAGGAACACCAGUGGCGAAGGCGGCUUACUGGUCCAUAACUGACGCUGAGGUGCGAAAGCGUGGGGAGCAAACAGG